UUAAUAUCCAGAAAGUAUACCAUGGAUGUGAAUUUGUACUUGACUUGCAUGUUUCUUGAACUAUUGAUUUGUUUUAUUGCAUUCUUUAUGCAAGUGUAAUGUCUGCCUGUUGAUAAAUUUUCUAGGAUGCAUCACUUGAAGGAAUCUGGAAGACCUGGAGCGGUGGCCUUCUUCUUCGACUCCAUGUUGUGUCUAGGUGUAUUCUGGGCAGGGAGGACUAAAUGACAGGCAAAAUAGGUGCAUUCUUGUUGCGGCUAAUGGAGGAAGGUCAGCAUGCGGCUCAGCAGUCAGCAUGGUCUUGGUCACAGGCACAACCCUGCUCGAGGGGCCCACCAGCAGAUCGCACUCGGCUGCCUUGAAUUUGUUUGUUGACAGGGGAACUAGCUGGAUUUGACUAUGUUUUCUGGGUGAAGUGUAGCUGCACGGUCCAUGGUUUUGGUGUUUUAAGUUGAGAACCUUGGCUGGGUCGAUCUGUGAGGCAAUGCAUGUGUGUUGCGUGUCAAAUAUUCUGGUAGCUUUGUUGUCGUGAUGUGUGGUAAAAUUUGAAGUAAGACAUUUCAUUCAA